rnacentral:rRNA from 1 species
GGGGACGGAGUGACAGGUGGUGCAUGGUUGUCGUCAGCUCGUGUCGUGAGAUGUUGGGUUAAGUCCCGCAACGAGCGCAACCCUUGUUAUUAGUUGCCAGCAUUCAGUUGGGCACUCUAAUGAGACUGCCGGUGACAAACCGGAGGAAGGUGGGGAUGACGUCAA